AUGCUGGAGGUAUCAGAAGUGCGAAUGCUGACAUAAGUAACGAUAAAGCGGGUGAAAAGCCCGCUCGCCGGAAGACCAAGGGUUCCUGUCCAACGUUAAUCGGGGCAGGGUGAGUCGACCCCUAAGGCGAGGCCGAAAGGCGUAGUCGAUGGGAAACAGGUUAAUAUUCCUGUACUUGGUGUUACUGCGAAGGGGGGACGGAGAAGGCUAUGUUGGCCGGGCGACGGUUGUCCCGGUUUAAGCGUGUAGGCUGGUUUUCCAGGCAAAUCCGGAAAAUCAAGGCUGAGGCGUGAUGACGAGGCACUACGGUGCUGAAGCAACAAAUGCCCUGCUUCCAGGAAAAGCCUCUAAGCAUCAGGUAACAUCAAAUCGUACCCCAAACCGACACAGGUGGUCAGGUAGAGAAUACCAAGGCGCUUGAGAGAACUCGGGUGAAGGAACUAGGCAAAAUGGUGCCGUAACUUCGGGAGAAGGCACGCUGAUAUGUAGGUGAAGUCCCUUGCGGAUGGAGCUGAAAUCAGUCGAAGAUACCAGCUGGCUGCAACUGUUUAUUAAAAACACAGCACUGUGCAAACACGAAAGUGGACGUAUACGGUGUGACGCCUGCCCGGUGCCGGAAGGUUAAUUGAUGGGGUUAGCGGUAACGCGAAGCUCUUGAUCGAAGCCCCGGUAAACGGCGGCCGUAACUAUAACGGUCCUAAGGUAGCGAAAUUCCUUGUCGGGUAAGUUCCGACCUGCACGAAUGGCGUAAUGAUGGCCAGGCUGUCUCCACCCGAGACUCAGUGAAAUUGAACUCGCUGUGAAGAUGCAGUGUACCCGCGGCAAGACGGAAAGACCCCGUGAACCUUUACUAUAGCUUGACACUGAACAUUGAGCCUUGAUGUGUAGGAUAGGUGGGAGGCUUUGAAGUGUGGACGCCAGUCUGCAUGGAGCCGACCUUGAAAUACCACCCUUUAAUGUUUGAUGUUCUAACGUUGGCCCGUUAUCCGGGUUGCGGACAGUGUCUGGUGGGUAGUUUGACUGGGGCGGUCUCCUCCUAAAGAGUAACGGAGGAGCACGAAGGUUGGCUAAUCCUGGUCGGACAUCAGGAGGUUAGUGCAAUGGUAUAAGCCAGCUUGACUGCGAGCGUGACGGCGCGAGCAGGUGCGAAAGCAGGUCAUAGUGAUCCGGUGGUUCUGAAUGGAAGGGCCAUCGCUCAACGGAUAAAAGGUACUCCGGGGAUAACAGGCUGAUACCGCCCAAGAGUUCAUAUCGACGGCGGUGUUUGGCACCUCGAUGUCGGCUCAUCACAUCCUGGGGCUGAAGUAGGUCCCAAGGGUAUGGCUGUUCGCCAUUUAAAGUGGUACGCGAGCUGGGUUUAGAACGUCGUGAGACAGUUCGGUCCCUAUCUGCCGUGGGCGCUGGAGAACUGAGGGGGGCUGCUCCUAGUACGAGAGGACCGGAGUGGACGCAUCACUGGUGUUCGGGUUGUCAUGCCAAUGGCACUGCCCGGUAGCUAAAUGCGGAAGAGAUAAGUGCUGAAAGCAUCUAAGCACGAAACUUGCCCCGAGAUGAGUUCUCCCUGACUCCCUGAGAGUCCUGAAGGAACGUUGAAGACGACGACGUUGAUAGGCCGGGUGUGUAAGCGCAGCGAUGCGUUGAGCUAACCGGUACUAAUGAACCGUGAGGCUUAACCUUACAACGCCGAAGGUGUUU
rnacentral:rRNA from 1 species